UUUUUAAAAAGAGUGACAAAUUUAUUUUUAGACUCUAUGUUAAAAAGAUUUAAGCUUACUCUGCAUCACCUUGUUGUAUAAUACCUUCAACAGACAGAUAGUGUGAGUGCAGCCCAGCUCAGCUGGCUUCAACCCCCGUAUCAAUGUAUGAAUUUACUUAAAUACUGUUAAACUAUUUGAAGUGGUCAUGUGGGUAGAAGUGCUGCCGUUGAACUUUACUGUGACCAACCAGCACGCGUUGGCCCAGUGAAAUGCAUUUUCCUUAAUUACCUUAAUAAGAUGUUGCAGCAGAUUUAAGCAAGUGCUAAGAUUGGCCUUAGAGCUGCUGCCCACCUGACUCGGCUUACCUGCUCCAGCAGAAUUGGCUUCAGUUGCUCAUGUGCCCCAGUGCCUUCCAGAAUGAAAGAAAGUUAUCCCAUGGUGAGAUGCUACAAAGGUACUUGUCCCUGCACAGUCAAAAUAGAUAAAAAUACUUGUUUAACUUUUUAUGUUACAUUUGGGAUUCUACUAUGCAGCAUUGAUAUUUCAGGUAGGAUAUUAGGAAAAACUUCUAAAGAGUGGUGAAGUGCUGGAACAGGCUGCCUGGGGAGGUGGUUGAGUCACUGUCUCUGGAGGUGCUCAGAAAACCUGUAGGUAUGCUACUGAGAGAUAUGGGUUAGUGGGCAAAUAUUGGCAGAAGGUGGAUGGCUGGACUGGACAGUCUUGGAGGAUUUUUUCAAUCUUUCUGAUUCUAUGAUUCUAUGUUUUUAUUGUGAGCGGAGCUACACAGCUGUGGAAUACUUCAGAGGAGGAACAUGAAGCAAAAUUCAGCCUUUACUGAAGAGCAGAAAAGGAGAUUUUGUAGUUUGGAAAGAGUAACAAUGAAAUCAGGAUUCUGCCCAUCAGUGAAACUGAAUGCAUCCAGUAAUGGAAAAUGUAUGGCUCCCUGUCCCUGGGCACUGGGCCAGCCCAGCAUGGUUGGUGCACACUCAGUCCAAAGUCUCAGAGCCUGCAGUCUAGUGAAGGUCUUCUCACCUCUGCCUUAAGAACUACAGCACGCUCAAGACUUCAGCAUGAAUAAUGCACUUUGGGGAAUGCUCUGCAGAAAGUAAUUAAUGAGCCUGGCUUUCAUUCCCGAUUUUUUUCUCCAAAUCUGCCAGACUCCAAAUGUCCAAGAACUGAGUGAGUGUGGAAAAAAAUCUUGAAAGAGCUGCCAAGGAAAUCACGGGCCAUUGUGUCCCAGGAGAUGCUUGUGGGUGAAAACUUAUCACAGAGAGAAGCUUUUCCCGCACUAAGGCCCCAUGGAGAGAAGGUCUGCCUGCCUCUGGCACUCCUAGCCCUAGAAUAUCAAACACUUUGACAGUCAGCAGAAAGUUCACCUUCAGACAGUUCUUAAA